rnacentral:tRNA from 1 species
UUUUUUGUAUUCUAGUUGGUUAGGAUACUCAAAUAUCACCUGAGAGACCCAGGUUCAAGUCUUGGCAAUGAAA